GAUGAACGCUGGCGGCGUGCCUAAUACAUGCAAGUCGAGCGAACGGACGAGAAGCUUGCUUUUCUGAUGUUAGCGGCGGACGGGUGAGUAACACGUGGAUAACCUACCUAUAAGACUGGGAUAACUUCGGGAAACCGGAGCUAAUACCGGAUAAUAUUUUGAACCGCAUGGUUCAAAAGUGAAAGACGGUCUUGCUGUCACUUAUAGAUGGAUCCGCUCUGCAUUAGCUAGUUGGUAAGGUAACGGCUUACCAAGGCAACGAUGCAUAGCCGACCUGAGAGGGUGAUCGGCCACACUGGAACUGAGACACGGUCCAGACUCCUACGGGAGGCAGCAGUAGGGAAUCUUCCGCAAUGGGCGAAAGCCUGACGGAGCAACGCCGCGUGAGUGAUGAAGGUCUUCGGAUCGUAAAACUCUGUUAUUAGGGAAGAACAUAUGUGUAAGUAACUGUGCACAUCUUGACGGUACCUAAUCAGAAAGCCACGGCUAACUACGUG
rnacentral:rRNA from 1 species